rnacentral:lncRNA from 1 species
GUUCUCACAAUGGGGCCAUAGGCCUCAGUUCAUCAAGAGAACUGAGCCUUUGAGGAUUUGCUAGGAAACUCUUGACUGAAGGGACGCCGGUGGAUGAAUCACUUUGUUUCUUAUGGAAAAGAUGAAAACUUUCUUUGUGGUUAUCUUGGCUACUGACUAUUUCUUACAUAUUUCUGGUAACAAUCCAUAUGCGGACAUUACAUGCGGUUAUUAUCGAAGGAAGUCUGCACAGGAGAACCGAAUAUGCUCCCUAACAGUCUACCCAUUAUGUGCCUCUAAUAAUGUUACAUACUCUAAUGCCUGCAUGUUCUGCUUCGCUAACAUGGCACCUAUGAGACCCAUACCAAUACUGCAAGGAAGAGAGAACUGAGAUUAUUUCCUAUUUACACAGAAAAAGAAAAGACUCCAAAGUUAAUUGCUUUCCUAAUGUCCUAUAAGCUAUGCACCUCUCUCUUAAAAUUCGAUACGAUGGAAAAUGCGGAAAGGCCAAAAGUCCUGAACAGAAUUUGAUUUUCCUUCCUUCAUCAUAAGUGAACUCAUUUGAAUUAAGCAUCAUCCUUCCUUCAAAAAGCAAAAUUCAUUAUAUUACCUUAUUUUUUAAAGAUCAAUAAAUUUUAUUCUACAGAAAGCUCUUCUUUAACUCAAGACAUAUUUAAUGACAUGCGCCAGAGUUGUGUUUGGUUCUAGAAAUGCAGAGUUGAGUAGGAAGUGACCCCUGACUUUGUGCAACUCACUGUCUGAUAGGCUAAUUGGACAACUCUUUCAUUUAUUCAGUAAAUAUUCUUUAAGGACUUACAAGACUGAGAGACUUGGAUAGACUCUGUGUCCUCAGUAGUAAUCAAAACAGGUCUGUGCCCUUGUGCAGUUUACAAUCCAGCGAGGGAACAAGAAAACAUAUGAUUAUUAAAAAAUGUGAUAAAAU